UACGUAGGGGGCAAGCGUUGUCCGGAAUCAUUGGGCGUAAAGAGCGCGUAGGCGGCCCUGUAAGUCCGCUGUGAAAGUCAAGGGCUCAACCCUUGGAUGCCGGUGGAUACUGCAGGGCUAGAGUCCGGAAGAGGCGAGUGGAAUUCCUGGUGUAGCGGUGAAAUGCGUAGAUAUCGAGAGGAACACCUGCGGAGAAGGCGGGUUGCUGGGGUGAUACUGACGCUGAGGCGCGAAAGCCAGGGGAGCGAACGGG
rnacentral:rRNA from 1 species